AGAGCAGCUAUUUAAUAAGAUUUUGCCACGAAUUUUAAGAACCGAAGCUAAUUUAGCCUUUUUUUUUGGCAAUAUUUCAAUCUCCCUCUUCCCAAAAAUACAACAACACUCAGCAACAGCAUAAAAAAGAAAGAGAGAAACCUAAAGACAAAAGAGGGGAAAACGGAGAAGAAGAGGGAAGGGAGGAAGGAGCCGGGCCGGCGCUGCUGGGUUCGCUGCCGCCGUCAUGUUGCCGUGCCGUCGGAAAGCCAGAACCGCAAGAGAAAGAACCGCAAAGAGAGAGGGAGAUCGCAUCAGCUCACCGCGAAGCCAGCGCCGUCGUCGUCCUCAUCGCGGGUCUUCACCAUCGCGUCUUGCCACCACCGCCACCUCUAAACUUGCCGUCAUCGCCGUUAAAGCCAAAGAGAGAGAGAGAGAGAGUUCGCGAAGAGAGGGAGUGUGCACGCUCACGGAGGAGAAGAACGACGAAGAGUGAAGGAGAAGCAGAAGACGAUGAACGCGGGCGAGAAGGAGGAGGUCCGUUCUUGCACCGUUCUGCUCUGCUGCCGGUGCUGCCGUCGAUUGGGGUCAAGGCCGUCGCCGUCGCACCCUGUUCCCGUCGCCAUCAGGGUUUGCUGCUGCUGCCAUUGAUAGAGCUGCCGCUGGGAGGAGCCGAAUAGGGAGAAGAGGUCGCCAUCGCACACGCCGCCACCAGUUACAGCCAUUGCCGAAACCAGGACAGAUUCACUGAUAACUCUGCUUCUUCCUUUUUUGAAACUGUUCUGCUUCAAUUGUUUCCACUAUUCUCCUAACUUUCUUUCUAAGUUCAUUUCUUUGAUGUAUUCUUACUCUCUCCUUCUUGAUGCUAUAGUUGUCCCUUCCGAAGAUUAUCACCAUGUUCCCUAUUUUUUUUCAAUUCAAUUCACUUCCUUUUUAGAUCGAAGAUUUUGCCUUCAAUUCAAUUAACUAUUAUGUUAUUGAGAUAUGUUCCAAUAGAAUACGGGUUUUGUUUCUAUAAUUUGGAAGUUUCAUUUAGCAUUGUGUGGCAAUUUCAUCCUUGUCAUGGGAUGAAUUUAGAUUAUUCUGUGAUUGAAGCUCUCUAUCUUAGCACUUGCGUGAUUUUGCUAUGCCAUUAUUGAAAUUUCCAAUUCUGUUAAUUAUUGAAUUCAAUUUUAUUGUUGUUUUUCAUUAAAAUUACAUUCAACUUUGGUAGUUAUAGCACUGAAAGAAGCACCCUUCUGAAAUAUGAACAAUAUUUUUUGCAGGCAGAGCAAGAGCUUUGAAAUCUAGAAAGAGCAAGAGCAAGAGCAAGAGCCACUCUUCUAUCUAUCAAUCUUGCAUUGCCUUCUCAUGCGUUGCUACCUCCAAACUUCCAAAUCCAUAACAAAAACAUUGCUGCUCUUAUUAUUCUUUCCAGGAAAAAUAUGAUAAACAAUAUGAACACUCAGAGGAGUUCCAGAAAGAGCUCAAAAAAUCAAGGUUUGUGAACUAUUAACUGAACAAGAAUGGAGGAGAAGAAAAAUGCAAAUGAGAGUAUGCUCUAACUUAAGAAGAAAGGGGUAUUAAUAACUAGUCGAACUAUCUUGUGGUUAUUAUUGGCGGAUAGAACAUUAUCAAUAUGGCAUUUGCAGUUUGUGGGAGUACACAAACAUUGUCAUGAAUUUCCUUUCUGGAUCCAGUGAGUUAAAUGGAAGUAAAAGUCUUGUCUGCCUUCAAUACUUUGAUGUUAUUAUCACUGACAGAUCUUCAAGUAUUUACAUUCCCUUGAUGUUGAAGAUUUCAAAGAUAUGAAGUUGGGCUACUCAAUCACCUUUAGAAUCCUUAUUUUAAAAGUACCAAGUUGACUAAAACUUUCAUUCUUUGAGGAGGAGGGAACCUCAAAGAUUACUAGAACUACCAUCAAGUGGAAGGAGGUCAUGGGUGUUGUUAAUGGAGUUGACCAUGAGACAAAAAAAAACAAAUGCGCACUUACUGAGAUACCCCAGACACUGAUAAACACAUGUUGGCAAUACAAACAGGUCUUUUGCGAAACCAGAAAUGGGACUAGUCAGUAGCCAAUAACAUAGAGUAAUGGAGGGGACUCAAAGCAAGUUCAACAUGCAUUCUUUGAUUCCUGAGAAUCAACAGUAGUCUCACCAAAGUAUGGAACUUGAAAUGGAGUCAACAACCAAUGAAAAACAAUGGAGCCGAGAGAAGAGGUCUAAAUUGGAAUGUGAGAUGAGUUCAACAAGCAUUAUUAAGUAGUUUUUAGCUAAUAACUGCACUAUUUUGCUUUGCAGUUAGAACAAGAAAUUAUGAUAAAAGAGGUUAAAGUAUGCUUUUUUUUUUUUACUUUGUCAAAAUUUUUAUUUUGUCUUAAAUUGUGAAAUGGCUUCAUGAAUUUAUUCAUGUGCAUGAACUGGUGAUAUAAUCUUGUUUUUUAUUAUAAGGGAAGAUUAUGCUAGCAAGUCAUUUACAUUCGCUUUGUAUGUGAUAUAAUCAUGGCGCAUUCUUUUAAAAAAAUCCACAUAAAUCUGCGGCAGUUUCAAACCGUCGCAGAUUUUUUUUAAAAUCGAAUGACCAAAUAGCGGCGGUUUUGAAACCGCCGCAAAAUCAAUUAUUUGAUUUGCUGCGGUUGUGCCAGCGGUUUUCUCAAAACCGUCGCAAAAUCAAAUCUCCACCCUUUAAUGGGCAACGCUUGUAGAACCGUUGGAAUUUUGUUUUGUUCCUAAAAAAAACGCUGCUAUUCAGCGUGUCUCUUGUAGUGUAAAUAACGACAGAAUAAUUAAACCUAUAACUAAGUGCUUGUAUAGA